rnacentral:rRNA from 1 species
AUGCGAUACUUGGUGUGAAUUGCAGAAUCUCGUGAACCAUUGAGUCUUUGAACGCAAGUUGUGCCCGAGGCCUUGUGGUCGAGGUCACGCCUGCUUGGGCGUCAUGG